rnacentral:rRNA from 1 species
UACGUAGGGUGCGAGCGUUAAUCGGAAUUACUGGGCGUAAAGCGUGCGUAGGCGGAUGCUUGAGUCGGAUGUGAAAGCCCUGGGCUCAACCUGGGAAUGGCAUUCGAUACUGGGCAUCUAGAGUGUGGUAGAGGGGGGUAGAAUUCCACGUGUAGCAGUGAAAUGCGUAGAUAUGUGGAGGAAUACCGAUGGCGAAGGCAGCCCCCUGGGUCGACACUGACGCUCAUGCACGAAAGCGUGGGGAGCAAACAGG